rnacentral:lncRNA from 1 species
CUUUGAUCCAGGUCUUUCUACUAAGCCUCUCUGUGUAGUCUGAGUGUUGGUGCUUCCUGCCCCCCUUGUUACGCUGACUUCCUUCCCCCAGUGAAGGUGACGUGUCAGGAGGUGAGGCUGCUGGGAGGUGGUGCGUGCCCUCUGAAGUGGGUUAGAGCCUCCUGUGAGACCCUGGAGAAAAGGUGCCAUCUAGGAGAAGGGUCCCUAACCUGACACUGUCUCCAAGAGCCUGGAUCCUGGACUCCCAGCCUCCAAAGCUCCGAGGAGUGAGACCCUGCUGACUGGAGGGACAAGAAUAGAAGCAGAGGAGACACCAUGGUGGCCUUAAGCAGGUGUUGGCAGUGGUCACAGCAAGGAUGGCAAGAAGUGUUCAGACCUGAAAUAUACUUUGGAGACAGAGGCUAGAGGCCUGGAGGCACAGCUGUACUCAGUGGAGCAAGACUGUUCAUCCUUCCAGGAGGUCACCUGAAGCUCAGCCAGGAUGGCAUGCUCUGCCCUGCAAACUCCGCAGAAGGAGCCCAUCUCUGGCCCCGCUCCUGUGACUAUGAGGAGUCUCCGCUGCCAGGCUUCCACCCUAAAAAGCAGCAUUGAUGACACAGACACCCACCGGGGACCCUGGAACCAGGAGGGCAGAGGCUGCUGAGCCAACUGUGUCACUGGGGCCCUGAAUGUGUGGGGUUGAGCUUGACAGGCCAGGUCCCCACGCACGUAAUGAGAUGGUAGGAGAGCUGAGGAGUGGCGCACCCCCUCCCAGCAGGGAAGACACAGCCUGAACCCCGAGAUGCAGACAGGGAGGGGCCGCCUAGGGGAGGCCACGGCCCAGUGGGUUUCCUGCGAUGGUGCCCUUCUCCUGUCCUUCAUUCAGACUGCACACGUUAUCUUACUGUAAUAAAUACAUCCUGUCUGGCAACACAACCUGGAUUACCUACUGAAGAAGCCAAUGAAAAAUGGCCAGGAUCUUUCUAGGGUUUCCCCUUCUGCAUAGCACAAGAUUCAUCAGCCCCUCUCACGACUGUGUGGCCAAAGGCAAGUCCGACUGCACUGGUGUGAACCCUGCAGGCCAGGUGCCCGUGGGGACACGAGAGAAGCAGUGCCCAGGGGUGUGGGCAGGAGCCACCAAGCACAGUGCUCUGGGGAUGGGCGCACACAGGGAGAAGACAC